CUCUCUCUGCAGGGCUGGCCCCUGGCAAGGCCCAGGACAGGAAGGCCUACACGGUCCUCCUAUACGGAAACGGUCCAGGCUAUGUGCUCAAGGACGGCGCCCGGCCGGAUGUUACCGAGAGCGAGAGCGGGAGCCCCGAGUAUCGGCAGCAGUCAGCAGUGCCCCUGGACGAAGAGACCCACGCAGGCGAGGACGUGGCGGUGUUCGCGCGCGGCCCGCAGGCGCACCUGGUUCACGGCGUGCAGGAGCAGACCUUCAUAGCGCACGUCAUGGCCUUCGCCGCCUGCCUGGAGCCCUACACGGCCUGCGACCUGGCGCCCCCCGCCGGCACCACCGACGCCGCGCACCCGGGGCCGUCCGUGGUCCCCGCGUUGCUUCCUCUGCUGGCCGGGACCUUGCUGCUGCUGGGGACGGCCACUGCUCCCUGAGUGUCCCGUCCCUGGGGCUCCUGCUUCCCCAUCCCGGAGUUCCCCUGCUCCCCACCUCCUGUCGUCCUGCCCGGCCUCCAGCCCGAGUCGUCAUCCCCAGAGUCCCUAUACAGAGGUCCUGCCAUGGAACCUUCCCCUCCCCGUGCGCUCUGGGGACUGAGCCCAUAACACCAAACCUGCCCCUUGGCUGCUCUCGGACUCCCUACCCCAACCCCAGGGACUGCAGGUUGUGCCCAGUGGCUGCCUGCACCCCAGGAAAGGAGGGGGCUCAGGCCAUCCAGCCCCCACCUACAGCCCAGUGGGUACCAGGUAGGCUCCCUUCCUGGGGAAAAGAAGCACCCAGACCCCGCGCCCCGCUGAUCUUUGCUUCAGUCCUUGAAUCACUUGUGGGACUUGAGGACUCGGGAUCUUCAGGACGCCUGGAGAAGGGUGGUUUCCUGCCACCCUGCUGGCCAAGGAGGCUCCUGGGGUGGGGAUCACCAGGGGGAUUUUGACACAGCCUUCGGCUGCCCCCCACUAAGCUAAUUCCACACCCCUGUACCCCCCCCAAGGGGCCGUCUGCCUCAUGGCAAAGGCUUACCCCAAAUCACAACUUCUCAGAUGUUCCAUACCCCCAAAUGCCAAUUUCAGCACCCAACUGAGGUCCGAGGAGCUCCUGGGAAGCCCUGGGUGCAGGACAGUGGUCGAGAGCCAAAGGUCCCUCCCCAGACAUCUGGACACUGGGCAUAGAUUUCUCAAGAAGGAGGACUCCCCUGCCUCCCCAGGGCCUCUGCUCUCCUGGGAGACAAAGCAAUAAUAAAGUGUUUGUAA
rnacentral:sRNA from 1 species